GCCUGUGCCAAUUGAUAGAAAAGUUCUAUGGUGGAAAAACUUUUUACUAUGUUGCUUUGAUGCACAAGAAGACUAUCGAGUUUGCUAUUUAUAAAAUGCAGCAAUUAUAUAGAAAAUAUUUGCCUUUGAUGAUUUCAAUUCUUCUGGAACUGAAAUCCAUGCAUUUAUUAGACCUUUUAGCAGUAAUAUUAGAAAUAAAAACACGUCAAAACCGUCUGGGUAUUAUGUACAUGCAACAAGACGUUUAUUCCAAAAUACUAAGCAGCAUUAUGAACGGCGAUAACAAGACUACAAAAAUGUAUCUUAGGUUGUCCUCUGCUUCGUUUCGAAAAAUUGUAACUCACAUUCCCAAAAAGCGCCACGGAUGGUCAGUGGAGUACGAAGUCAUUUGCUUAAUAAAGUCUUCAAAUUAUUUAUAUUGUUCUUACUCACUUCCAGCCUUCGUUGCUGUUGGCGUUCUUUGAACUGAACCAAACAUCCUUGUCAAUGCGCUUUUCCAGAAGGAUUCUGCGUUCUGAACUGCUCCCUGUAAAAUAGUAUUUUUAAUUAAAAAAAUACAUAACGCCUUUUCAUAUGUAAAUCUGAAAUUAAAUCUUACAAGUUA